CCAGUGAGAGUAGAGCCAUUCAGAUGGCAGGGGUCACAGUGAAAUGUGAGAAGACAAGGGCAUGGUUCACCCAGUAUGUGAACCCGAGGGUAGAAAGCUUAUCCUGGGAACAGUUUGCUAUAGAGUUUGCAGGAUGAGUUUGUUCAGAUAGCUCAAGGGAGCAUAAAGAGAGUGACUGUGAGCAGCCAGGGCAGACAGAAAACAUGAGUAUAGAAAAUGACCCAGAGAAUAGUGAUCGUUUCCCUUUGGGUAAGGCUGCUGCAACGAAGAAAAAGAAAGUGAGAGGCCUGAAAGGAUCAAAGAAAAGAGAGUUCUGGAAUAGGGUACAGUUUGGCAUAGGUUGUCGCGAGGGUUCGAGUUCUGGUUGGGGUAGUUCUAGCUGUACGAGGUGCGGUAGGAGGCACAAAGGAGUCUGUCGGGCUGGGACAACAGCAUGUUUCAGGUGCGGAC
rnacentral:lncRNA from 1 species